UACGAAGGAUCCUAGCGUUGUCCGGAUUUACUGGGUUUAAAGGGAGCGUAGGCGGACUUUUAAGUCAGUGGUGAAAUGCCUGCAGCUUAACUGUAGAAUUGCCAUUGAAACUGAUUGUCUCGAGUGCGGUUGAGGUCACUGGAAUGUAUCAUGUAGCGGUGAAAUGCUUAGAUAUGAUACAGAACACCGAUUGCGAAGGCAGGUGACUAAAGCCGUAACUGACGCUGAGGCUCGAAAGCGUGGGGAUCAAAACAGGA
rnacentral:rRNA from 1 species